rnacentral:rRNA from 1 species
GACGAACGCUGGCGGCGUGCUUCACACAUGCACGUCGAACGAAGCGGCGAACGGGUGAGCAAUACGUGGGUAACCUGCCCUCCUUUUUGGGAUAAGCCCUGGAAACGCGGUCUAAUAUCGCAUAAAGGUGUAUGGGCUCGCGGCCUAUCAGCUUGUUGGUGGGGUGAUGGCCUACCAAGGUGGUGUCGGGUAGCCGGCCUGAGAGGGUGAGCGGACACAGUGGGGCUGAGAUACGGGCCAGAAUGCUACGGGAGGCAGGAGUGGGGGAGUGAGCACAAUGGGAGAAGGCCUGAUGCAGGGACGCCGGGUGGGGGAUGGGGGCUAUGGGGUUGGAAACCUCGUUCACGAUCGGACGGGUAGGUGGAGAGAAAGCGCCGGCUAACUACGUGCCAGCAGCCGCGGUAAUGC